rnacentral:rRNA from 1 species
CUCAAACUUUAAAUAUGUAAGAAGUCCUUGUUACUUAGUUGAACGUGGACAUUUGAAUGCACCGUUACUAGUGGGCCAUUUUUGGUAAGCAGAACUGGCGAUGCGGGAUGAACCGAACGUGGGGUUAAGGUGCCGGAAUGCACGCUCAUCAGACACCACAAAAGGUGUUAGUUCAUCUAGACAGCAGGACGGUGGCCAUGGAAGUCGGAAACCUCUAAGGAGUGUGUAACAACCCACCUGCCGAAUGAACUAGCCCUGAAAGUGGAUGGCGCUCAAGCGUGCUACCUAUACCCCGCCGCCAGGGUAGAAACGAUGCCCUGGCGAGUAGGCAGGCGUGGGGGUCGGUGACGAAGCCUUGGGAGUGAUCCCGGGUCGAACGGCCUCUAGUGCAGAUCUUGGUGGUAAUCACUA